GAUGAACGCUCGCUGUGUGCCUAAUACAUGCAUGUUGAACGGGAUGUAGCAAUACAUUCAGUAGCGAAUGGGUGAGUAACACGUACCUAACCUACCUUUAAGACUGGGAUAACUAUUGGAAACAAUAGCUAAUACCGGAUAUAGUUAUUUAUCGCAUGAUGAGUAAUAGAAAGGAGCUUCACAGCUUCACUUAAAAAUGGGGGUGCGGAACAUUAGUUAGUUGGUAGGGUAAUGGCCUACCAAGACGAUGAUGUUUAGCCGGGCCGAGAGGCUGUACGGCCACACUGGGACUGAGAUACGGCCCAGACUCCUACGGGAGGCAGCAGUAAGGAAUUUUCCACAAUGAGCGAAAGCUUGAUGGAGCGACACAGCGUGCAGGAUGAAGUUCUUCGGAAUGUAAACUGCUGUUAUAAGGGAAGAAAAAAUAGAAUAGGAAAUGAUUUUAUCUUGACGGUACCUUAUUAGAAAGCGACGGCAAACUAUGUGCCAGCAGCUGCGGUAAUACAUAGGUCGCAAGCGUUAUCCGGAAUUAUUGGGCGUAAAGCGUCCGUAGGUUUUUUGCUAAGUCUGGAGUUAAAUGCUGAAGCUCAACUUCAGUCCGCUUUGGAUACUGGCAAAAUAGAAUUGUAAAGAGGUUAGCGGAAUUCCUAGUGAAGCGGUGGAAUGCGUAGAUAUUAGGAAGAACACCAAUAGGCGAAGGCAGCUAACUGGUUAUAUAUUGACACUAAGGGACGAAAGCGUGGGGAGCAAACAGG
rnacentral:rRNA from 1 species